rnacentral:rRNA from 1 species
AAUGGGCGCAAGCCUGAUCCAGCUAUCCCGCGUGCAGGAUGACGGCCUAUGGGUUGUAAACUGCUUUUGUACAGGAAGAACGCCCUCAUUUAUGAGGGCCUGACGGUACUGUAAGAAUAAGCACCGGCUAACUCCGUGCCAGCAGCCGCGGUAAUACGGAGGGUGCAAGCGUUAUCCGGAAUCACUGGGUUUAAAGGGUGCGUAGGCGGCGCUAUAAGUCAGAGGUGAAAGGCCACAGCUUAACUGUGGGACUGCCUUUGAUACUGUAGUGCUUGAAUUAGGCUGAGGUCGGCGGAAUGUGACAUGUAGCGGUGAAAUGCUUAGAUAUGUCAUAGAACACCAAUUGCGAAGGCAGCUGACUAGACCUUAAUUGACGCUGAGGCACGAAAGCGUGGGGAGCGAACAGGAUU